CAGUAGCCACGGUAAUACGUAGGUGGCAAGCGUUGUCCGGAAUUAUUGGGCGUAAAGCGCGCGCAGGUGGUUUAAUAAGUCUGAUGUGAAAGCCCACGGCUCAACCGUGGAGGGUCAUUGGAAACUGUUAAACUUGAGUGCAGGAGAGAAAAGUGGAAUUCCUAGUGUAGCGGUGAAAUGCGUAGAGAUUAGGAGGAACACCAGUGGCGAAGGCGGCUUUUUGGCCUGUAACUGACACUGAGGCGCGAGAGCGUGGGGAGCAAACAGGAUUAGAUACCCGCGUAGUCCCUGUCUCUUAUAC
rnacentral:rRNA from 1 species